rnacentral:lncRNA from 1 species
UACAGUAUGUUUAUACUAUAAAAUGGGGGGGGGGGAUAAGAGAGUAAAGACGCAUAAUUGAUGGAACAGCGGUAAGCCUCGCAGCUUACAACGUUAAAAUUCGGAUUUCGAUACCCGCAGUGGGCAGAUCACAGGUAACUUAUUGUUUUGCAUUGUGUUCAAUAACAAACAAAAAGGCUUUCCUGACGUCCAUGCUGACCUUUAGGUAGUGGACUGUUGAUUCCAAAUGGGCAUAUUUUGCAGAUAAGGUAUUACGUGGCGUAGUUGACCUUCGCCAGGCUGUCCAGUUGGGGUUUGUCUGGUUUCCAAUAUUUGAAUAUCGCUCACAGUCUAUACUUCCAUUAAAUACUCCGCCUGCCACCAGAAGGUAGCAGUUACAUUGAAACAUUAACCAAAAACAAAAUGCUCAAAUCUGAAGACGAAAUAGGACACACUGCCUUUCCAUGGCACACAACUAACGACAUAUCGAUGUUUUGAACUGCAUGAUGAUGAUGAAAGUGUAAAUUUCCAGACAAUGCUGAACCUUUGCCCCUUAAACUACUUGAUAUAGUUUAUCUAGGUGUCUAUCUAUUUACAUGUAGGAAUGUGGAUGAUCUAUAAUAGAGGUGCUGUUGUGCUACACGCACGUUACAUCGUGUUUAAUAAGAGCUUAAUAACAAUGGUAUUUAAUCGAGUGUAAAAGAAUAUGAGCUCCAGCAGUAACGUUAGGCGUAAACGGGGGGUUAUAUAUUCGAAAGAAGUAAAAAGAAAAUUCGGUGCUAGAGAAGUGCUCAGAAACACAGUACUAACUUAUAGGGAAGAUCAGUUGGUUAGGACGUUCGUGGCCAGAAUAUCUUCACUACUCGUCUUCCAGCUGAGAGUUGAUUUUAUAACCCGGUCACGUGCAUCACUAACUCAAUCAGCCUCUGUCGUUUGAGUUGUCGUGGGCAGAACCUCUUGUUUCGUUAUUUAAAUCAUGGGUUUGAAUUUAAAUACUUCACUUAGACAGCCUACAAACCGAGUCCAAUGUAGUAGAGAUCGUGUUCCUUAAUAGAAUGUAACGCUGUAGAUUGUGGUGUUUAAAAAGAGUGGUUAAGAUGGACCUUUUUUACGAAGUAUACUUUACAAGAAGUUACACAGUUGGUGCUUUCGGAAGACUACUUUGUUGUGUGAAAAUAAUGACUUUGAACGAAUACGCCUACUCCCAACGAUGAAUGUUCAUGAUAAAAACAUCUAGAAGAAACAAGAGUAAUAGAGCUUCUCUCCUUAACAUUUUGUGGAUUGCUUAUUUU